rnacentral:rRNA from 1 species
AUUGAACGCUGGCGGCAUGCCUUACACAUGCAAGUCGAACGGUAACGCGGGGCAACCUGGCGACGAGUGGCGAACGGGUGAGUAAUGCAUCGGAACGUGCCCAGUAGUGGGGGAUAGCCCGGCGAAAGCCGGAUUAAUACCGCAUACGACCUACGGGUGAAAGCGGGGGAUCGCAAGACCUCGCGCUAUAGGAGCGGCCGAUGGCAGAUUAGGUAGUUGGUGGGGUAAAGGCCUACCAAGCCUACGAUCUGUAGCUGGUCUGAGAGGACGACCAGCCACACUGGGACUGAGACACGGCCCAGACUCCUACGGGAGGCAGCAGUGGGGAAUUUUGGACAAUGGGGGCAACCCUGAUCCAGCCAUGCCGCGUGCGGGAAGAAGGCCUUCGGGUUGUAAACCGCUUUUGUCGGGGAAGAAAUCCUCCGGGCUAAUACCCCGGGGGGAUGACGGUACCCGGAGAAUAAGCACCGGCUAACUACGUGCCAGCAGCAGCCGCAGUAA